CCUAAUGAUGAUCUCUUGUUUUCGCUGUGUUCUUGCUGAAUUCUCAUGUCGAAUAUACAUCAUCUUGGAGAACUGACAA
rnacentral:snoRNA from 1 species